rnacentral:lncRNA from 1 species
GGUGAAGGCGAGUGAAAGAAGGUGACCGAGCCAGAAGGAGAGAGCACAGAUGACUUGGUGAUGGUAUGGUAUGCUCCAUCGGCUGCCAACCUAAGGCCAUCGCCUGCCUCCAUCACCCCUUCGCCUGCCUGCCUACCACCCAAUCCCAAAUGGGUGCUGGAUCAGGUGCCGAAUCUGGCUGCCUCCUCGGGUCCUCCUUCUCAUCACUUCUUAGGCAUGGAGAGAUGAAGGACAGAUGGAGUACCGCACAAGGAUACAAUGGAGGAAGCAGGCCAUGACUAAGACCCCAAGGAUGAAGAAUGGAGAGCCCUGACCGUCCUCCUGGCCUCCAGUCAUUUCCCCACUGAAGAUGGCCGUACCCUCUAGCCUGGUCUGUAUGUCCCCAGCAUUGCAGGUGUUGGGGGAGGGAAGGGGCUGCGUGUGAAGCUGAGCUGUGAAACGGGAAGGGUCCCCUUUUGUGGAUCCUGUUUGUACUGUCCACUCUUACAAGUGUGGCUGAUUUUUUUCUCCCUGGUGCCUCCCUCUCCUCCCCCGCCUUUCUUUUGCCUCCCCCCUUUCAUCAUCACCAUCUGGGUCCUUCUGCUUGGCACCCAACCAAGUAGAUGCCGCCACACUUGGCAGUGUUGUGCUGGCAUGUGACCAGUGACUCAGAUUCUGGCACUGCGGCAAACCCAAAGCCUCGAAAGUUGCUCAUGAUACCGCUUGGCGGCAAUGAGGGAGAGGGGUCAUGGGCACAUGCGCUGGGUGGAGCUCCGUGUUGUAAAGUGGCACAUGACGCUGCCCUUCACAGAGGGAAUAAAG